rnacentral:miRNA from 1 species
AUCCUUUGAAUCGAUGAGGUGCAACAACCUCAUUGACCGGCAGGGAUCGCUUCUGCUCAAUGAGGCGUAAUAACUUUUCAUUGGCCGGAAGGAAUCCCUUCCGGGUGAUGGUGUUGUUGCUUCUUAUCUGCCGGAAGGAU